UACAGAGGGUGCGAGCGUUGUUCGGAAUUACUGGGCGUAAAGCGCGUGUAGGCGGUUGAGUAAGUCAGAUGUGAAAUCCCUGGGCCUAACCCAGGAAUUGCAUUUGAAACUGCUCGGCUAGAGUGUGGUAGAGGAUGGCGGAAUACCUAGUGUAGAAGUGAAAUUCGUAGAUAUUAGGUAGAACACCGGUGGCGAAGGCGGCCAUCUGGGCCACAACUGACGCUGAGACGCGAAAGCGUGGGGAUCAAACAGG
rnacentral:rRNA from 1 species